GACGAACGCUGGCGGCGUGCCUAAUACAUGCAAGUAGAACGCUGAAGAGAGGAGCUUGCUCUUCUUGGAUGAGUUGCGAACGGGUGAGUAACGAGUAGGUAACCUGCCUGGUAUCGGGGGAUAACUAUUGGAAACGAUAGCUAAUACCGCAUAAAAUGGCUUAUCGCAUGAUAAUCCAUUGAAAGGUGCAAAUGCAUCACUACCAGAUGGACCUGCGUUUUAUUAGUUAGUUGGUGGGGUAACGGCUCACCAAGGCGACGAUACAUAGCCGACCUGAGAAGGUGAACGGCCACACUGGGACUGAGACACGGCCCAGACUCCUACGGGGGGCAGCAGGAGGGAAUCUUCGGCAAUGGACGGAAGUCUGACCGAGCAACGCCGCGUGAGGGGAGAAAGUUUUCGGAUCGUAAAGCUCUGUUGUAAGAGAAGAACGAGUGUGAGAGUGGAAAGUUCACACUGUGACGGUAUCUUACCAGAAAGGGACGGCUAACUACGUG
rnacentral:rRNA from 1 species